rnacentral:lncRNA from 1 species
UUUUUUUUUUUUUUUGUAUUUUUAGUAGAGAUGGGGUUUCACCAUGUUGGCCAUGCUGGUCUCGAACUCCUGGCCUCAAGUGAUCCACCCAUCUUGGCCUCUGAAAGUGCUGGGAUUACAGGAGUGAGCCACUGUGCCUGGCCAGAAGUCUAGACAUUCUUAAUUGCUAUUACAGAGCUGCCUCUAGUUAGCUCUAUCUAGACAAUUUAAGCCUUAAUUUUCAUCGCCCUAAAAUGGGAUCUGUAGGACCAGCUAAUCAGAUUGUUAUAAUUCAAUAAGGUAAAGAGUAUAACGGUUUAGUAUAGCGCACAGCAAAAUAUAUAUCUCAAUAAAUGUUUACUUCCUUUUUUUAAUCAGUUGAAGGUUUUGAAAAAUGGUGGAAUAGGAUCCAUAACAAGAUUAGCACCAUGCCUUUCAUAUCAUCAAAGGAAGACUUGGACUUGUUUCCCCGGACUAAUAUAGCAUUGAAAUGUCCACUGGGAAAGCAUGUGAAUCAGCAAUACAGGAAUUCUAGAAGGUAGGAUGUCCAAGAGACAUAAAAAGGGUCAGCCUGAUCCUUGGCAUAUAUGUUGACUGGUUCUACAGAAAAUGCAGGAAAGCUUAGGCAGAAUAUUGCUUGUGUAGAGUCAGACCGGUGAACCUCAAAUUUGGACAGAAGCCUCUGGGAGUCUGGAUUUAGUAGGAUUAUCCUUACCAGUCAUUUCCAGUUACAUAGUGGGUCCCAUACGGAGCAGGUGAAGAAGGCAAACCAACAGAGUUCCCUUUAAACUUCACAAUGAAAACCUGCUUCAGAAGAAUUCAGAGUCACCACAGUAUUUACGUUUGUAAUCCUCCAGUAGAAUAUGUAAACAUGGUCAAAUAUUAUUCUGAAUGCUUCUGUGAGGGUAUUUUUGGAUAAGAUUUACAUUAAAUUCAUUGGCUUUGGGUUAAGGAGAUUAUCCUGUAUAAUAUGAAUGAGUCUUAUUUAAUCAGUUGAAGUCUUGGAAGGAACAAAAGACUGACCUAUCGUAAGGAAGAGGGAAUUCUGCCAGCAGACUGUGUUGGGUGUUAAAUGCAGCGUGGGCUCUGCCCCACCUGAAGCCUGCCUGCCCACCCUGAAGACUUUGGACUUGUCUGCCUCCAUAAUCACAUGAGUCAAUCCCUAAAAUCAAUCUCUUUCUCUUUACAGUCAGUCCUCUAUUUACUAUGAUUCAACUUAGAAAUUUUCAGCUUAAUUAUGGUGUGGAAGUGAUACACAUUCAAUAGAAACCCUACUUUGAAUUUUGAAUUUAGAUCUUUUCCCAGGCUAGCAAUAUGUGGUAUGGAACUCUCUCCCGAUGCUGGGUAGCAGCAGCCAGCCAUGGCUCCCAAUCAGCCACACUAUAGUACUCUAUAGUAGACUGUGUUGCCAGAUGAUUUGGCCCAACUGUAAGCCCAGGUAAGUGUUCUGAGUAUGUUUAAGUAUGUUUAGUUCAUUUUCACACUGCAAUAAAGAGACUGGAUAAUUUAUAAAGAAAAGAGGUUUAAUUGGCUUCCACAGGCUGUACAGAAGACAUGACUGGGAAGUUCUUAGGAAACUUACAAUCAUGGCGGAAGGAUGAAGAGGAAGCAAGCAAAUCUUCACAUGGUGGCAGGAGACAGCGAGCUAAGGAGAGGUGCUACAUACUCUUAAAAAACCAGAUCUUGUGAGAACUCUGUCACAAGAC